AACUCUUUUCUUUCCCAAUCUUUACUAAGAGGUAGGAAGGAACCCUCCUGUCAUCCAAAGCAACAAACAAGUCAAAGAAGAUUCAACAAUCCAACUGCUUUCCCGUAGGUGCUAAUGCUCUAUUUGCUCUGUAUUAUAACAACUGCAGAAUAUCCAGAUGGUUCUCAUACUUAUUCACAAAUAAUUGGGCUUCUUCUAUUGAAAUCUAUGUUCCCCAUGUUUUCAUGUUCAAGCAACUUAAAGCCUGAAGACAGAAGAUACACAGUUGACUCUUUAACAACAUGAGUUUCAACUGUAAAGGUCUACUUAUACUCAGAUUUGCUUCUGUCACCCGAGACAGCAAGACCAACCCCUCCUUUUCUUCAGCCUACUCAAAGCGAAGACAAUGAGGAUGAAGACCUUUAUAGUGAUCCACUUCUGCUUAAUGAAUUAUAAAUAUAUUUUCUCCUCCUCAUAA
rnacentral:lncRNA from 1 species